AUUGAACGCUGGCGGCAGGCCUAACACAUGCAAGUCGAGCGGAUGAAGGGAGCUUGCUCCUGGAUUCAGCGGCGGACGGGUGAGUAAUGCCUAGGAAUCUGCCUGGUAGUGGGGGAUAACGUCCGGAAACGGGCGCUAAUACCGCAUACGUCCUGAGGGAGAAAGUGGGGGAUCUUCGGACCUCACGCUAUCAGAUGAGCCUAGGUCGGAUUAGCUAGUUGGUGGGGUAAAGGCCUACCAAGGCGACGAUCCGUAACUGGUCUGAGAGGAUGAUCAGUCACACUGGAACUGAGACACGGUCAAGACUCCUACGGGAGGCAGCAGUGGGGAAUAUUGGACAAAGGGCGAAAGCCUGAUCCAGCCAUGCCGCGUGUGUGAAGAAGGUCUUCGGAUUGUAAAGCACUUUAAGUUGGGAGGAAGGGCAGUAAGUUAAUACCUUGCUGUUUUGACGUUACCAACAGAAUAAGCACCGGCUAACUUCGUG
rnacentral:rRNA from 1 species